GUGCACGGCAGGUACGGAUUCCUUGGUUCGUACAUUGGUUGGUUAAUUUGUGCUAACACCAGUUUAUUGCGCUUCGAUAUCUCGCGUUAUUUAACUUGGGGUGUAAGCCUGAAAGCUAGGUUUCAGUCGUGAGCCAUGUGGAACACGUCUGCAUCGAAAUGGGAGCCGGGUCCUGCUGCGACUGGGGACAGCAAUACCGACAUGCAGUAAUGAGGAUGGCACCAGUAUAAAGCAACACACUCCAUGCACUAAACAGAAGCUGCUGCCUGCUACAACAAGGUCAUUGUGUGGACUUUGGCUGCUACUACAAGAGUCUGUGCCAAGUACAUCUUGGUCAUCACGGGAGCCCCCAUCUACGCCAACAGGAAGGGGCUGGAGCUGAAUUCACAAGACCACGAACAAAGAAGCCAUUCCAGAAUUAUUUGGAUGAGAUACCAAGUCUACGGACGACUGUUUCAAGAGUGAAAAGAGCCUACGCCAUCAUUCCACCAGCACGGAUAUUGGCCGAGUCAUCCAGGUACCUCAACAACAAAAAUUAUUUGUCUUCAGAUGUACCUGCAACCUCUGAACAAGCACAGACGACGCUGGCUAAGAGUGUUCUGUCAGCUUGCCCUUCCUUAGGGAGCUCCCUGGCCUUGCCAAUUCUUGCCAAGUAUAAUUUUGUUUCAAUGAAUGCACGCUUCUUCAUUCCACACUUUUGUUAGAGAUCAUUCCUAUUCCUCAUACAAACAUUAAAGGUCAACCGAUUCUUUGCUCAUA